ACAGCAGGCACCAACUCAGCAGACACGGAGUACCAUCAACAUCAUUUAGAUUUAAUAUUGUGGUAGCAAGAAAUCAAAUUCACAGUCAAACUGGGGCUGGAUGAAUGAAAACAAAUGGCUGCUGGUCAGGGAGGAAGAAGAAGAGGGGCCUCAAUGAAGAUGACGAGGAAGAAUCUAUAAUUUUUCAUAGGCGGCUCCCCGAUUGGCCGUUGGUGUGACGAUGCAGGUGUAUGACUCAUCCUCUAUUCUUAGCCAAUGAGGUGACACGGGAUGCUGACCUUUCAUCGCCUUGGUGACCGCUGUGACGUCACUGCAGCUGUCAUCUUCCUCCUCGGUGGUGUGAGAUGAUUGGUGGCAUCAGAGCCCCGGGGUGGAAAACACACAGUUUAUACAUGUGCGUGAGUCAAUGAUUCCCUCACCGCACUGCCACUGUCACACAGCUCCUCUUCAUCGUCACAGCUUCUGUCCUCAUCAACCCCUCUGCUGAGGAUUAACAGGCGUAUUCACAGCAGCACCCUCUCAUGACUGUGAAUACAAAUUCAUGCUUUGACAUUAAUGACUUCAUAUGUCCAAGCAGUCGGAAACAAAUGGUCAGCACAAAACCUAACAGGGCUCCCAUUAAGUCCUAAUCAGAAAAUUAACCCCUGACAAACCAUCACCAAAACCAGACCAUUCAUUUAUGCUUAUUUCCUGUUAGGUUGUCAAAAAUCACAGAUUUGUUUUGAUGUAAAGUCUUCGGAAUAAAUCAUCUUAACUGAAGCAACUAA